AACACCUCAUUUUGCUUUUUUGUAAAUCAUCACAAGGCUUAUUAUCCCAUUUUACAGAUGAUGAAACUGAGGCUGAGGGAAGUAAGAGAGACCACAUCCCUCUGGUCACCCAGCAGCCAGCCAGGGAGUGGAGGAAGCAGGUCCAGCCCAGCGAGUUCGAGCUCCACAUCACUGCUGUCCCCACCUGCCCCUGCCUGUCCCGUGGAGGAUUCGGUGCCAAGGCACAGCCACCCAGCCCGAUGUCCUGCCGGCUGGACGGAUGUCGGCAAGGAGACCACAUUUCUCCAGCUGCUUUCCAAUCCACCAUCUGGGGAAGAGGGGCAGCUUGCAGGCACCAGCCUCCCCUUCCUGUGAAAUCUGCCUUUUUCAUAGCUAAUGAACAUGUUUCAAACACCGAGAGCAUUUCAAAACAUGGCAAAGUUUGUUUUGACAGGAGCGGUGCAUCUUGGAGAAGCAGGACCCCUUUAAUCAACCUCCCUCUUUCAGAUCCCACAUUCUCCUCUGAUAUCUGCUGGGUUUGAAAUCGGGGAGUUCUAGGUAAAGAUUCCGGGAAGGUCA